rnacentral:rRNA from 1 species
CACGUAGGGCGCAAGCGUUGUCCGGAAUUAUUGGGCGUAAAGAGCUCGUAGGCGGCCUGUUGCGUCCGCUGUGAAAGCCCGGGGCUUAACCCCCGGGGUCGGCAGUGGAUACGGGGCAGGCUAGAGGUAGGUAGGGGAGAAUGGAAUUCCCGGUGUAGCGGUGAAAUGCGCAGAUAGCGGGAGGAACACCGGUGGCGAAGGCGGUUCUCUGGGCCUUACCUGACGCUGAGGAGCGAAAGCGUGGGGAGCGAACAGG